rnacentral:snRNA from 1 species
GAUGCAAGGGCAAUUUAGCUGUCAUGUGUCACCACAUUGAUUACAAUGUUCUGUUUGGCUGAAGUAGCAGGUUAGGCAGGUGGCCCCUUCUCUCUCUCACUGCAUCAUGUUAUGUCCUUCCCAAGGCCAUGCUCUAUGAAAGACGUUGAUUUUCUUCAUAGAGAACUGUCUUUAGUCAAGGGUAUGUGAAUAGCUUCACUCCCCUGUAAGAACAUCCAAGUAAGCUCUCAAGGUCAUCUGAGGAAGAAUGUCAGACAGUCAAGUUCCAAGACUGAGGUGCCACAGGUGGCAAUCUGCCUGUGUUU